rnacentral:rRNA from 1 species
UACGGAGGGUGCAAGCGUUAAUCGGAAUUCCUGGGCGUAAAGCGCACGUAGGUGGUUUGCUAAGCCAGCUGUGAAAUCCCCGGGCUCAACCUGGGCACUGCAGUUGGAACUGGCAAGCUAGAGUAGGGUAGAGGGGUGUGGAAUUCCAGGUGUAGCGGUGAAAUGCGUAGAUAUCUGGAGGAACAUCAGUGGCGAAGGCGACACCCUGGACUCAUACUGACACUGAGGUGCGAAAGCGUGGGGAGCAAACAGG